rnacentral:rRNA from 1 species
AUUGAACGCUGGCGGCAGGACUAACACAUGCAAGUCGAGCGGAGCGGCGGACGGGGGAGUAAUGCCUAGGAAUCUGCCUGGUAGUGGGGGAUGACGUCCGGCAACGGGCGAUAAUACCGCAUACUAUCAGAUGAGCCUAGGUAGGAUUAGCGAGUUGGUGGGGUAAAGGCCUACCAGGGCGACGAUCCGUAGCUGGUCUGAGAGGAUGAUCAGUCACACGGGAACUGAGACACGGUCCAGACUCCUACGUGAGGCAGCAGUGGGGAAUAUUGGACAAUGGGCGAAAGCCUGAUCCAGCCAUGCCGCGUGUUUGAAGAAGGUCUUCGGAUUGUAAAGCACUUUCAGCGGGGAGGCGUUACCCGCAGAAGAAGCACCGGCUAACUCCGUGCCAGCAGCCGCGGUAAUAC